AUUGAUUUUGGGAGUUUUGGUUCCAACAGUUUAGGAAUUAAGGGCCAAAAAAGGGCCCAAAUAAGCAUUAUUCUUGGUUUUUCGCACAAUAACUUUAGUAUGAGUAAAUAGAAAUCAAUGAAAUUUUAACACAAGGUUUAUGACCACAAAAGGAAGGUUGGGAUUGAUUUUUGGAGUUGAGGUCACAACAGUUUAUGAAUUAGGGGCCAAAAAGGGGC
rnacentral:lncRNA from 1 species